rnacentral:rRNA from 1 species
AGAGUUUGAUCCUGGCUCAGAACGAACGCUGGCGGCGUGGAUUAGGCAUGCAAGUCGAACGAUCUAUGCGAAUAGAUAGUGGCAAACGGGUGAGUAACACGUGGGUAAUCUACCUUUAAGUUUGGGAUAACCUGCCGAAAGGCGGACUAAUACCGGAUGUGACCACACCUCGCAAGAGGUGAGGUAAAAGGUGAGGACCUGGUCUUGACCAGGCUUAUCGCUUGAAGAUGAGCCCGCGUCCUAUCAGCUUGUUGGUAGGGUAACGGCCUACCAAGGCAUUUGACGGGUAGCUGGUCUGAGAGGAUGGUCAGCCACACUGGGACUGAGACACUGCCCAGACUCCUACGGGAGGCUGCAGUCGAGAAUCUUUUGCAAUGCCCGCAAGGGUGACAAUGCGACGCCGCGUGAGCGAUGAAGGCCUUCGGGUCGUAAAGCUCUGUCAGCUCGGACGAAAUACAAUUUUCUAAUACAAAAUUGUUUUGACGGUACGAGCAGAGGAAGCCACGGCUAACUCCGUGCCAGCAGCCGCGGUAAUACGGAGGUGGCAAGCGUUGUUCGGAUUUAUUGGGUGUAAAGGGCACGUAGGUGUCCUACUGUGUCAGUUGUGAAAUCCCUUGGCUUAACCAAGGAACCGCGACUGAAACUGGUAGGAUUGAGUACGGUAGAGGAGAGUGGAAUUCUCAGUGUAAGGGUGAAAUCUGUAGAUAUUGAGAAGAACACCAUUGGCGAAAGCGACUCUCUGGUCCGAUACUGACACUGAGGUGCGAAAGCUAGGGGAGCGAACAGGAUUAGAUACCCUGGUAGUCCUAGCCGUAAACGAUGAGCACUAGGUGUAGGCUCCUCACGGGGUCUGUGCCGUAGUUAACACGAUAAGUGCUCCACCUGGGGACUACGUCGGCAACGAUGAAACUCAAAGGAAUUGACGGGGACCCGCACAAGCGGUGGAGCAUGUGGUUUAAUACGACGCUACGCGUGGAACCUUACCAGGGCUUGACAUGCUAGAAGUAGGAACCUGAAAGGGGGACGACCUGUUCUAAUCAGGAGCUAGCACAGAUGUUGCAUGGCUGUCGUCAGCUCGUGUCGUGAGAUGUUGGGUUAAGUCCCGCAACGAGCGCAACCAUCGUCUUUAGUUGCCACCCUGUUUACAGGAGCACUCUAGAGAGACUGCCAGUUUUUUAACUGGAGGAAGGUGGAGAUGACGUCAAGUAAGUAUGGCUCUUACGCCCUGGGCUACACACGUGCUACAAUGGCCGGUACAAUGGGACGCAAUACCGCGAGGUGGAGCAAAUCCUAAAAACCGGUCUCAGUUCGGAUUGAAGGCUGCAAUUCGCCUUCAUGAAGCUGGAAUCGCUAGUAACCGCAGAUCAGCUAUGCUGCGGUGAAUACGUUCCCGGGUCUUGUACACACCGCCCGUCAAGUCACCCGAGUCGAGUGCACCCGAAGCCGCUGUUCUAACCCACUUCGGUGGGAGGAAGGUGUCGAAGGUGUGCUUGGUAAGGAGGACUAAGUCGUAACAAGGUA